rnacentral:rRNA from 1 species
AGGCAGCAGUGAGGAAUAUUGGUCAAUGGGCGGGAGCCUGAACCAGCCAAGCCGCGUGAGGGAAUAAGGCCCUACGGGUCGUAAACCUCUUUUGUCGGGGAACAAAAGCGGGACGCGUCCCCGUCUGCGUGUACCCGAAGAAAAAGCAUCGGCUAACUCCGUGCC